CCUACAGGAGGCAGCAGUGGGGAAUAUUGCACAAUGGGGGAAACCCUGAUGCAGCAACGCCGCGUGAGUGAAGAAGUAUUUCGGUAUGUAAAGCUCUAUCAGCAGGGAAGAAGAAAGACGGUACCUGACUAAGAAGCCCCGGCUAACUACGUGCCAGAAGCCGCGGUAAUACGUAGGGGGCAAGCGUUAUCCGGAUUUACUGGGUGUAAAGGGAGCAUAGACGGAUGUGCAAGUCUGAAGGUAAAGCCCGGGGCGCAACCCCGGAACUGCUUUGGAAACUGUAUAGCUUGAGUACUGGAGCGGCAGGCGGAAUUCCUAGUGUAGCGGUGAAAUGCGUAGAUAUUAGGAGGAACACCAGUGGCGAAGGCGGCCUGCUGGACAGAAACUGACGUUGAGGCUCGAAAGCGUGGGGAGCAAACAGGAUUAGAUACCCUAGUAGUC
rnacentral:rRNA from 1 species